GAAGUUGGAAUUGCUAGUAAUCGUGGAUCAGCAUGCCACGGUGAAUACGUUCCCGGGUCUUGUACACACCGCCCGUCACACCAUGGGAGCCGGUAAUACCCGAAGUCAGUAGUCUAACCGCAAGGAGGACGCUGCCGAAGGUAGGAUUGGCGACUGGGGUGAAGUCGUAACAAGGUACC
rnacentral:rRNA from 1 species